ACUCCUACGGGAGGCAGCAGUGGGGAAUCUUGCGCAAUGGGCGAAAGCCUGACGCAGCAACGCCGCGUGAGUGAAGAAGGCCCUCGGGUCGUAAAGCUCUGUCGAGAGGGAAGAAUGCCUGACUUAUGUCAGGAGAGACGGUACCUCUCAAGAAAGCACCGGCUAACUCCGUGCCAGCAGCCGCGGUAAUACGGAGGGUGCAAGCGUUGUUCGGAAUCAUUGGGCGUAAAGCGUACGCAGGCGGUCUGGAAAGUCCGACGUGAAAUCCCAGGGCUCAACCCUGGAACUGCGUUGGAAACUAUCAGACUUGAGUAUGGGAGAGGUUCGUGGAAUUCCAGGUGUAGGGGUGAAAUCCGUAGAGAUCUGGAGGAACACCAGCGGCGAAAGCGACGAACUGGACCAAGACUGACGCUGAGGUACGAAAGCGUGGGGAGCAAACAGGAUUAGAAACCCCAGUAGUCC
rnacentral:rRNA from 1 species